GCCAGUGUGGUGUAGUGGUUUGAGUGUUGGACUACAACUCUGGAGACCAGGUUUUAAAUCCCAGCUCAAGCA